UACGUAGGGUCCGAGCGUUGUCCGGAAUCAUUGGGCGUAAAGCGCGUGUAGGCGGUUCGGUAAGUCCGCUGUGAAAGUCGGGGGCUCAACCCUCGGAUGCCGGUGGAUACUGUCGGACUAGAGUACGGAAGAGGGGAGUGGAAUUCCUGGUGUAGCGGUGAAAUGCGCAGAUAUCAGGAGGAACACCGAUUGCGAAGGCAGCUCGCUGGGACGUUACUGACGCUGAGACGCGAAAGCGUGGGGAGCAAACAGG
rnacentral:rRNA from 1 species